GUGUUUGCGGGCGUGGCAUCAUCAAGAUUCACAUCGAUCGAUCUGGACCACUGAUUUGGUGGUUUUUUGGAGUUUGGAGGAGAUGCAUGAGAAUCUUGAUGAUGCUGCAUCCGCAGACAA
rnacentral:pre_miRNA from 1 species